rnacentral:ncRNA from 2 species
CUGACCUCACGUGACUGGCGAGAUCGGGUGGAAAACCACCGUGGAGCGUGAGCGUAGCAGCCGUUCGCCUGGGCACCCUUC